AUUGAACGCUGGCGGCAUGCCUUACACAUGCAAGUCGAACGGCAGCACGGGAGCAAUCCUGGUGGCGAGUGGCGAACGGGUGAGUAAUAUAUCGGAACGUGCCCAGUCGUGGGGGAUAACGCAGCGAAAGCUGUGCUAAUACCGCAUACGAUCUAAGGAUGAAAGCGGGGGAUCGCAAGACCUCGCGCGAUUGGAGCGGCCGAUAUCAGAUUAGCUAGUUGGUGGGGUAAAGGCCCACCAAGGCGACGAUCUGUAGCUGGUCUGAGAGGACGACCAGCCACACUGGAACUGGGACACGGUCCAGACUCCUACGGGAGGCAGCAGUGGGGAAUUUUGGACAAUGGGCGCAAGCCUGAUCCAGCAAUGCCGCGUGCAGGAUGAAGGCCUUCGGGUUGUAAACUGCUUUUGUACGGAACGAAACGGCCCUUUCUAAUACAAGGGGCUAAUGGCGGUACCGUAAGAAUAAGCACCGGCUAACUACGUGCCAGCCGCCGCCGUAACAC
rnacentral:rRNA from 1 species